rnacentral:lncRNA from 10 species
UUUGUAUUUUUAGUAGAAAUGGGAGUUUCACCAUGUUGACCAGGCUGGUCUCGAACCCCUGAAUUCAAGUGAUCUGCCCGCCUCGGCCUCCCAAAGUGCUGGGAAUACAUGUGUGAGCCACCACGCCCAGGCAAUCAGGGAAAGAGAAACAAAAUCCAUGGUGGAUCAAGCUGAUGAAAAACAGCUAAUGUGUCCUGAAAUCAGUUGGCUGAACCAGUGAGGUUCAUCACCCUUUUCUUGGGUUAUAUUUGCUCAUAAUGUGAAGUUAGUUUGAGAUUUUGAAAGCAGUUUGGAAGAAUCACUCAUGGUCACAGUCUAUUUGCAAACCUAUCAACGCUGGAGAUUUGAUGCUGUCACUGAGGUACACACUGCUCAAAGCAACACAGAAAUUCUGGCAGGGUCUACGCAUGGCAGGGGCUGGAAGGGACCUGCCCAGAUUCCAUGAGAACACGCAGAUCAGGGCAGCUCUCUGUGGAGGCAUCCUGCGGCACCAGAGUAUUUAGGAGAGAUACAAAACCCCAUUAAUUUUACAAGCAUGGCAAGAGCACAGCCUCAGCAGCGGCAGCGUCAUCAUUUGGUUGACAGAAAGCACAUGUUUUUGCACACAUGGACUUCAAAAUAGCCACAUCAAAACAAAAAUGUGUUUCCAACAGCCCAGCAUGUGGCAUGGACUGAAGUUUUAAUUGGCAAGCAAGGCUUUCUGCUGGGAACAGCUUGGGUGUGCCUGCGAGCUGUGGAGUGAGGCCCCUAGUCAGUGUGGAAUCAAGAGUCCACGAAGCAAACCUUAGAGAGAGAGACAGAGGAGGAAGAGGUGAACACCAAUCAGUGGAGCUCAAGAGAAAAAGAAAAUAAAAACACAGCACCACUGGAAGAACACAUGGGUCGCAAAAUGAGGAGAGAAAUGAGGAACGAGCCGGCCUGAGGACUUCGGCCAGCUGGUCCCUGUAUGAAGUCCGCCAGGGCAGACCAUCACUCACACAAUCUUGUUUUCUUUGUCCCUCCCAAAUCCCAACACCAACUCCUCAUCUGGUCCCCAAAACCUCACUGGACAUCAGGUCCUGCUUGCCUAAGUGCAGUAAAAAUCAAACUUACUACAUAUUGAGCACCUUCUACACCCAGAUGCUGUACCAGGAAUCAUAUUACAUCAUCCUCUUUGGUUCCCACACCUACAAUAUAAAGUGAAGAUUGAUGUCCCCAUGUGAGAAAUAAGGAAACAUGUUCAGAGAGGUUAAGCAACUUGCCCAGAGCUACACAGUAGGCUGGCUACUCUCUGACUGUUUGAUCCAUGCUCUGUUCUGCUCUGUGCCUGAGGAUGCUGACUCCCGCACAGAACACCAGCUGUAUUUGCUCUCCCUCUCCCUGGCUCAGCCCCUGGAAGUUCUAGCAAAGGUAGGAAGAAGGAAACUGGGAUAUUAACACCCCUGCUUCCUUCACGUAGGGCCUUAGUUUGGCAGAGGUUGUCAGGCCACUGUUUCUGUCCCUUGGUCUCUCUCCUCUGGCCACAACUCUUACCAAGUCCUAGUCAUUCACCAAGUUUCUUCAGGCCUGAAGGUGGGAACAGUGUCCCACGACCGCUAGUCUCUGGGUGAAGCAUCACCACAUUUUGAUGGUCCCAUGACCUCCCUAUACCUCUGUAAACAGUCCCUUCACUGAAUAUAUUCAGCAACCCUCUGACCAACAGGACCUCACUGCUAAGCAGAGCUCAUGCUAGCAGAGCUUGCAUUUGAACCUGGAUUGGCUGGACUGCAAAGCUCGGGCUGUUAAUCACAGGGCUAUACUGUGUGGUGGGUGACUUAAGCAAUCAAGAAGUACAUAAUCAUUCCUGGAAUUAAGCGUGUACGCACACGUGCACACACACACGCGCACACACACACAGUGGGCAGGAAUGUUUCAAUGUUGCUUUCAUCCACGUCCCUGACAGCCGAGUUCAGAGUGUCCAAUUAGAAUUUCUGGUUAUGCAAUUUUUCUUUGAAGUGAUAAAUUGGUGGUAGAAAGUUCUGAACUUGAUACAUCUCUGGGUGGCUUCAGUUGAUUUCAAUCUGUGGUAGUGUCUAGAUGACUCUGCCAGGACUUGGCUUUCUGGCAGGUCUUAUGAAACCAAGGGCUGGGCCAGCCAGUUCUAUAAUAGUUGCUCCAAACUGUGUAGAUUCCAGGGACCUCCCCAGCUCAGAGCUAAUAACUAACACGAUUGACUACAGACGUGUGUUUUAAUCACAGAAAUCUGAAAAAGGUCCCAAGAGAAAAAAGCUUACAACUUUCAAAAUCUUUUAGACUUUGCCUUUGGUGUUAGACCAGUUCUUCCUAGGUUGUUCACUUGGAUUCACUCUAGAGCAAGGUUUCUCAGCCUGGGUACCUGGGUAUUCUAGGUUGAAUAAUUCCUUCUUCUGGGAGACUGUCUCAUGAGCUGCAGGAUGUUUAGCAGAAUCCCUGGUUUCUACUCACUAGAGGCUUCAGCACCAACCUUCCACUUCUCCUCUGCUAUUGUGGCAACUGAAAAUGUCUCCAGACACUGCCAAAUGUCCCCCAGGAGAGCAAACUCACCCCUGGUUGAGAAUCACUGCUCUACAGGAAUAGUUGCAUGAGGAUGGGCACAAACUCAGCUUCACAAAAGAAAUUCUACUCAAGCCUCACAAAAGAGACAGCUUAUCACUUGCAAAAUACUGAUUCAAUAGCCUAAUUUUUAUGCCUUAAAAGUUAAGCCAUGCUUUGUCCUCAAGUUUCAGAGUUUGAUUUUCCAGAGGUUCAGACCUAAGCCCCACUGAAGAUGACUUCAGAGAUGGCUUAGGCCUGAACCUGCUUGACCCGAACAAUUUUGACCAUGUAUAGUCAAAAUUACCUUCAAAAGUCCCUUUGGACAGUGCUACCUUAUAGAUCCCAUAACUUCUCCAUGGUUUUGACAAUCACGGUUUUAAUUUAGCGUCAGUGGAACUCCUUAAGUGCUGGGAUUGCAUUCAUGGGCUGUGUUACCCCCAAAUACAAAUCUGUAAACUCUAAACUCACAUUUGAAGCAGCAAAUUGUUCAUACGACAAGGGGCACGUUGGAAUCAGGAAUGGUUCAAGGAAAAGAAGAAAAGAUCUAUGCUCCUUGUGGUCAUGCUCCCUCAGGGACAUGCACUUAAUAUGAAUGUUAGACAGGAUUAAAAGCGCUAUUUAAAUUAGAAUUUCCACUUCCCACUCUUGCCCCUCAGAUUACGCUUCUGAUUAAGUUCACUUGCUUAAAUAUGUAUAUAAUGCUACUGUAGUAUCAUACAGGAUAAAAAAGAAGCAAUUUCAGGUUCAAUUAUUCUCAUAUUGAUAACAUAUAGGGUGACUAUUCUAUUAGAGUCAGAUCCUCAGAAAGAAAUGGCCCAGAUAUGUCAACUCUCUGUAAAAGUUUCCUCUCUAUUAAUUAUACCAACAUCAUUUAUUCAGUCCUUAUGGAGUGGCCUGCAUAGUCAAAGAUGUGUCCUCCACCCAUGGCUCAUGUAAUAAAUUUCUUCCUGGGUAGAGAGGAAACAGCUGUCUCUGCAGAUUCAUGAGUCUGCUUUCUUUUGUCAUGCUUGACCAUUCGCCAACUCAUAACCCAUGUACUGAAUGCUUGUUCUGCUCCAAGCACUGGGAAUAACAAAGGUGGGCACAGGCACGUGCCCUGCCCGAGGCACACGUAGAUGCUUGGGAGGAGCAACUUAUCACAUGGACAGUGAGGUAAGCCCUGCAUCCCAACUGUGCACAAGAUGCAAGGGAAACACAAGAGAGGGAUCAAGGGCGGCUUUAGAGAAGAGAAGAUGCCUCAGCUCGAUGAAGAGUCCAGGGGGCACCCAAUGGAAGAGUGCACUCCAAGCACAGAGCAUGGCAUUUUCAGGUACUGACUGUGGUUUGGUGUGGAUGGAGCAUAACAUUUGUUGGGGGGUGGCUGUGGUGGUUGGUACUGGGUACAAAGGGUCUUGAAUGCCACAUAAGAUCUGAAUUUAUGUGGUAGAUAAUGGAGAGCCACCCGAUAAUUUUAAGAAAAGGUACAGAGAUCUUUUUUUUAAAUUGGGUUGCUGAGAAGAGCCUGGAAGAAGUGAAACCUAUCAGAAGUGAUUGAAAUGGCCCAGAUCAGAGAUGGUUGAGGCCAGGACUAACGCAAUGGCAAUGAAGAGAAAAGAAAGAGGGCUGAUUUGAGAGAAAACAACACAAAAGACACUUGGGGAUUGAUUGGAUGUAAGGUAAGUGUUGAAGGAGGAAUCAAAAAUUAUAUGAAUGUUCCAGCUUAAAUGAUUGGGCCACGAGAGAUAGCCUUAACCAGGUGGGGACUAGAAAAUAUAAGCAGGUUUCGGGUGGGGGUUUCUGGAUGAGAGAUAGACAUCACCUUCCAUCUGAACAGCCCUCAGCCUGGCACUUGGUGGGUCUGAAGAGUUGGAGGGGCAUUUAGUGGAGAUGGCUGGGGAAGUGCAAUACACACGCCCUGAGCUCAGGGAGGCCAAGGCUGGCAGUACAGACCUCAGGGAUUCAAGGCAUAUGGGAGGUAGGUAAAAAUCACAGGUGGAAUGCGAGGGCCCAGUGAGAGGAUGUGUAUGAAGAUAGAGAGGAGCUGGAGAGGAACUUCAGAAAAACCCACCACGUAGUGAAAAGGCAGAAGAGGAGUCAGUGAGAGGAUUGCAACCAAACAAUGAGAAAAGACUAAGACAAAUGUUGAGAAAACAAUGAGAAAUGCACGCGACUCAAAAGGCAACUAUCCUGUUUAGCCUGGAGAUGAUCUAGAGGACAAAGAGGCAUCCAGAGGGGGAUGGAUCCAGAAAGUCAACAAAAAGCGACUUGAACUUCCCGAUGUAUCUGGCAGAGGCAGCCUUCUCACAGAAGUUACAAAUUCAAAAGGCUCCAAAGAUGCAUAUCAUGCCCAGAGGCAGAUGAAACACACUGCAUGGUCACUGAACCCAGAGGUUCUCCUGAAAAAGUGUAUUUCAGGUACCAGAAAGUCAACGUGAGUGUGUCUUGCCAUACUGCAGGUGUUGUAUCAUUUUGAACAAAUGUGUUCCAAAGAUGGAUGGGGGAAAGCAGGGCUGCUGAAGGGAAAGGGGGAGUGGUGGAGAUAGCAGAGUAGUGAUUAAGAUCUUGAGCAUGGACAAGGAUGCUAGAAGGAGCCCCAGAGUUAUUCUCCUUUGCUAAUUUCCCCAGUCUCAGUCAUUGUCUGGAAAUUCAAAGUACCACUGUGGCUCAAGAACCCUCAUUGUCCUGACAUGUGGAGCCUCCUGACUGCACCUGAAAGCACUGACCCAAGGCUCCCACCUGGGAUGAAAGGUGCAGAUGUCUCACCCAGCCAACAAGCCAGAUUCUCUGUUUGAGGAUCAGGAGGCUACAGGAAUCGCCAUAUUUACCCAUACUUUAAAUGCCUGCAUCUGUGACAGGAAGUAUCAUUAACCUUUGUCAAUAAUGUCUGCUGGUGAGUAGGCCAUGGCCAUAUAGGCCGUAUAUAUCCCCAGGGCCAAACAAUCAGACAUUUGGAAAUACCCUGGAAUCCAAUUACAGGUAGAGAAAAAAAUCACUGUCAAACGUAUUUUUCCUUGACAUAAAUAAAAAUAAUAUAGUGUGGCAUCAUUUUCAAAUGUAUCUGUGAUGUAUUAUUUCUGUGUGCAAUAUGGAGAGUAUCAAGCUCAUAAUAAAAUACUGUAGACAUAAUUUUGCUUUCAUGGCUAGGUUAGUGGGUGAAAGCCACUUCUAAAUUCUUGACAGCUGCUUCCUUCCACUGGGAAAUGCCAUUUAUCUCCACCUGGCCUCAGGAGGGACUCGUUUACAAGAGGGAGCAAGGAGGGAACAUAGUUCUAGCUCUCUAGAGAAGGCAGCUUAACCCCGGGAUGCCCUCCAGGGACCACCAUCAACAUAUGGUUUUCAGAGUCUCAAUAUUUUAAGACCGACAUUACUCAUCCAUGACUGAGCCAUCUGCCUGGGACAAUCUUCCAUGGCUCAGGGAUCGGGAGUAACGGGAUGUCACGGGAAGCUGUGGAGGAGCCGGCCCGCUCCAGCAGAAUGAGCCAAGGUUUGGAGAGCCAGCAAAGAAUUGGACAGACAAUAUCGUUCCAUUAUAUCCAGUUCUGCUAAGGUCAUGGAGUCCGGCCUUGUUUAAAUUAAACUUUAUGCCAUAUUUAGUCAACCCUCCUAGAAUUAAAAGCUUAAUGCCUCUGCUGUCUUCAAUUGGCUAAGUCUACAUCAGGCUGUAAGCCAUAACACUUGACUAAAGCAAACAGUGCUAGCAGGAGGGUUAGUCAACACACACUGUGUAAACGCUGCUGAGAACCAUCCCUGUGUUAAUGUGAAAGAAAACGGACCCACAGUAUGCAGAGCAGGCAGGAAAACAGCUGAUGCUCAAGGCUGCAGUGUACAAUAUCAUCGCGCCUCUCCAAAUAAAGUGAAGAAGACAGAAUAUCUCCCAGGAGAGCUUGCCUGUCUGUACAUAAGGACGUACACACACACACCCACAUCCAACCAUGUGCCAGUAAUUUUUACAAUUUGAAUUAUUUUCCUUCUUCCAUAUUUACCUUCUAUUUUCACUAGGUCCACAUUUUUCUUUGCUUGCUGUAAUUAAUUUUAUUCUCCUUCAGUUUAAUUUAAACCAGACUAACAGUUCCUCGGGUAAGAACAUUCGAAUGUUGGUCACUUGAUUGGGCAGACCCACAUCUCAAAAUGAUAAAGUAUUAAAUGAAUAUUCCAGUAUUUAGGAUUAAAUGUUAAAGUAAAGCUUAUUUUCCAUAUUCUCCUUUUUCCAUGGCCAUACAUUGACAACUUUGAUGAAUCAUUUUGCUUUAAUAUAAGUGGCUCUGAAGACGUCUAGUUUGUUAGUGACCAGGCAGUUGCAGUCACAACCCCCCUCCCCCAACAAAGUGUACCCAUAGUUGCUGUCUCAGUAUUAGCCUGCAGGUUGAAAUCAUCACUACUGCCCUGAGGAAGCCUGUCUGAUGUUAACCUGUUCAUUUUCCCUCUACUCUCCCUGUACUCACCUUGGGGAUGGUGAGGGGUUCCUGGGGAGGAGGCAGACACCGUGAGAGCCUCUUGAGAGUCUGAAGAUGAGGGGCUAUGGCUCAGAGGAGCCAGGCAGGCUGGGGCUGCUGGCGAGGUCAGGUCCAAGGAGAGGUCGGCUCUGCCCCGGCUCACACUCCGGCUUCUCAGCUCCUUCUCGUGCUCCUCAGCUGCCAACUGUUCCAAGUAUUUGUAUCUGAAAGUUAAAUUCCAAAGGGUUUCCGUCAAACGAAAGAGGAGCCUGUGGCUGAUGCUUGUUUAUGGAUGAAACACCUGCAGAAUGAGCCGGUUUCCUGAUGCACACAGCACAGUGCAGGGCUGGCUGGAGAGUCAGCCUGCCAAAAACACCCAGCAAAGCCAAGAUGCUAAUGAUUAAAAAUCCCACGUCACUCAUAACCAAGCAAAUUGGGGGAAAUGGCAGCAUCACACAGUCCCUAGAUACUGGAUCACUGCUGCAGAAUCCUAUCUUGCUCUUUUAGGGAACAUUUGUAAAUAAGCAAAACAGCAAUAACCACCACCAAAAAGCCUCAAGAGUGAUGGCUGAAAACCAAACCCCCUCGGAGCUCACAGCUGUGAAAUGGGUGGGUGCCUUGGUGUGGCAGAGAGAAAAAAAAUGCCCCCCAUAUACCAAAGGGGGUUGCUUGGAUGAAGGCCUGCCUCUCUGAAUUUCUGAACCUGCUUCAAUACUAACAGCAAUGUAACUGGAAUUCACUUUGUUCUCUCAGUGCUGACCAUGGAAACUUUUUUUAUAUUCUAAAAUAUUUCUGAGUAGGAAUCAGACAUCCAAUAGCUUGAACCUGACGUCACAUAGAGUUUAUUCAUCAAAGUCAGUUUAAAAGAACAAAGAUACAUCUGUUUUGCAUUUCAGGCAGGCAGAACCCACUAACUGUUUAUUAAGACCAGCUACCAAUCAUAUUCCUCAUAGUGCGCUUUAUAGAUCAGACCAAAAUAACUUUGAAAUGUGUGCCUCUUCCAGAUGUCUGCUAAUUUUACUCACCAUUAUUUUUUCAGAAAUAAAUUUAUGCAUUCAGCUGUAACAGGUUUCUUACUAUCUUACCUACCACUAAACUUUGGAACAGCUUACUCAAGACGCUCACUUUGCAUCUAUCCAAUUCACUGCUUCAGUUCCUCACAAUGGGCAUUAGACAUGGUGUUCCUCAUUUACCCAGAUAAGAAAGGCAGAGCACAUAAUUAAAAUAUUUUAAAA